rnacentral:rRNA from 1 species
AUUGAACGCUGGCGGCAGGCUUAACACAUGCAAGUCGAGCGGGGUUAUACGGAAGCUUGCUUCUGUAUAACUUAGCGGCGGACGGGUGUGUAACGCGUGAGUAACCUGCCCGUAAGACGGGGAUAACACCGAGCAAUCUGUGCUAAUACCCGAUGAAGAAAUUUUGCUGCAUGGCAGGAUUUUGAAAGAUUUAUCGCUUACGGAUGGACUCGAGUUCGAUUAGAUAGUUGGCAGGGUAACGGCCUAACAAGUCGACGAUCGAUAGCCGAACUGAGAGGUUGAUCGGCCACAUUGGGACUGUGACACGGCCCAGACUCCUACGGGAGGCAGCAGUGGGGAAUAUUGCGCAAUGGGGGGAACCCUGACGCAGCAACGCCGCGUGAAGGAAGAAGGUCUUCGGAUUGUAAACUUUUGUCGCAAAGGAAGAAAGAAAUGACGGUACUUUGUGAGAAAGCCACGGCUAACUACGUGCCAGCCGCCGCGGUAA